GGGGGCGAUCGGUUUCGACUGCGAGAUCGACGCCUCGAGGUGGCGUGCCGAGGUUGCCGGGAUGGCCUCGUGAAUCCCCCGGCAAGGCAACAACUGCCGACAACAACUACGCUCUCGCCGCCUAGAUAGAGGUGGCACGUCGAAUCGGUCCUCGCCCGCGGGGCUGAUCCGGCGCACGAAUGCGGGCUGGCGCGAAGCCUCGCCCGGGGGCCGAGCGCGAGACACCACCGGGCUGGCCCUACCUCCGGUUCGUCCGCCGGCCGGGGGCGGGGCGAGAACGAUCGGCGGACUACGCACGUAGAAGCCCGGGGCGGGACUCGUCAGGACGCGGGUUCGAUUCCCGCCGCCUCCACCA
rnacentral:tmRNA from 1 species